CUAAACAGAAAGAGACUAAAUAACAACUUUCAGCGAAGGAACGCAAAAAAAACAUUACGAUUAUAGACAAAUAUUAUACAGCAGCAGUAUUAAGCAUCGCCUACAGCGCCGCCAUCUUUAGGCAGAAUAUGAGAGAAGACAGUCUUCUGCGUUUUAAGGAUUAAAAUGGCAAAUGAAAGUGAUGAACAGAAAUUUAGAGAAUUUCUCUUUAACUUUUCUGAAAUUUACCCUGGUAUUAAAUACAAAUGGUUGAGAUUGCUCCUAUUUGACUACAUACCCUUAGCGGAACUUGACAGUGAAAACAAUACCGGAAUGGAUUUAUUCAAUAUACUCCUGGCGCGGGGUGUUAUUUUCAUGACCAAUGUGACAAUUCUAAAUGAAAUUGCUGAAGUUACAGAUCAAAGAUCUGCAAUAGCUCUUGUAAAUGAUUAUAUAGCAGCUAAUCAAAAUACGAUUGUAAAUGGUACGGAGAAAUUAAAGCAUUAUCGGAAGCAACUUUUCAAAGCAUUAACACAAAUCGGAAGAGCAACAGAACUAAAAAGAGUGACUGGUUUCUACACACGGAAUGACUUCAGAUUCAAAAAUAUUUGGGAUGUUGUAUUCUACCUAGAGAAACAAUCAAUGUUGGUAAUUGAUGUGAAAGAAGACAGGGAGAGAUUCGCAAAAUUACUCAACAAAAGAGCAAGCGGCAUAUUUCUAGGUACUGUAUGUUGCUUUUAUGGUCA